rnacentral:tRNA from 1 species
GCCAGGGUGGCUCAGUCGGUUGAGCGUCCGACUUCAGCUCAGGUCACGAUCUCAUGGUUUGUGAGUUCGAGCCCCACGUCAGGCU